rnacentral:lncRNA from 1 species
AGGCAUUGUGAAGACCCUGUUUCCCUAGCUGUGCAGCUGCAAGGUCACUAGACAGAUAAACUCAAGUUGCAAAACACGUUUUCCUAGAAAACCCCAGGCCUCCAUUCUGCUUGCUGCAGCCGCUGGAACCACAGAUGCUCCCUGGCAGGGCCACCAUACCCUCCAGCACCAGCUCCUCACCUCAUGCCUCUCAGGCAGAUUUGGAUCAUCUGCCUGGCCAGGUAGGCCUGCAAGCCUAUGGCCCCUGGGAAAGAUAUAAUAAAUGCCGUUGGCUUUUGAUUUGCUUUUCUUGUUGCAGAAGGGGUUUUCUUGGGACAAAAUUUGAGUGGAAAAGCAUCCCAGACAGAGGUAACAGAGGUACAGAUGCACGGACAAGAAAGGCCCCUGAGGUGUGGAGAGUAUUGGUUCCACGGAACGGGUCCCCAGUGGUUUUAUGAUCAGG